ensembl:lncRNA
AUAAUGUCAUGAUUUGGUACACAACAAUAUUGGCAAAGCAGUAUUACACAAAACAAAUAAUCUGAAGAACAGUAAGUAUAUAAUGUCUAUGUUUCUAUGUGUAGUUGUAUCUAUGAGUAUUGAUCUGAAAGCUCAGGUGAUGGUGUGUCAGGUGAUCUCCAGCAGGUGGCAGCAGAGCUCUGCUGUAGGUCUGUGCUGCACUAAUGAGGAACAGUCAGUCACUGCUGUUUAAUGGCUUCUUCAACUCACAUGCCUCACAACAUGAGGCAGUGAAAAAAACACUAACAUGUGAUCUGAAACUGUACAUCUGAGUGACUAUGAGCGGGACCUCAAAGGGGCGGAGUUUAGGGCGGGACUUAGUUAAGUGAACUUGACAAUGUGGAGACUUGAUUCUAUGUGUUGGUUUUUGAUUGUAAGUUAAGAUCUCAAAAGUGGAGGUAAAUGAGUUUAAACUCGAAGGGGCGGGGUUUAAUUAUAUGAGCUUGAAGGGGCGGAGUUUAAGGUGUGACUUGUCUCUUUGCGUCGGUUGUUGAUUGGAUGUUGAUAUGUGGGUUUGGCACUCAAAAUUGGAUGUGAAUGUUUUGAGGCGGGGCCUAGUUAUGAGCUUGAGGGGGCGGAGUUUGAAGCCCCCUCAAGCUCAUAACUAGGAAGAUGUUCAUGCUUUGUCAUCGGUUGAACCCGCGUGAAAGAAUGUCACUGGAUGCUGUAAAACACAAUACAGGUCUUUCCAGCUGUGAUGCGGCGGUGACUGCAGUGAUGUUUGUGUGUAUUUGGUUGAUAAAAGCAGCGUUUUGUGAUGGUUUGGUGACCUCACCCUCUGCAGACAAACACUGCGGCCCUCAAACGGACGUCUGAUCGAUGCACGGAAGAAAAGAGAGAAACAUGAUGAUGAGUGGAUCUCACGAAAACACGUCCAAGGCACAGCUCACCCUGAAAUCAAAAAGAAAAAAGAAUUGAAUAAGAACUUACAGUUUGUAUGAAGAACAUUCUGCCUAUUUUUAGGAAGAUUUUCAUUAUGAAAUUAUUUUCAUGACACAUUUCCCAUUUUAUAUCUCAGUAGUUCUUACUACUGUAAUUGCCAGUUUUUCCUGUAUUUUUAAUUUAAAUAAGCAAAACAUUAAAGACAAGAAAGGCAC